GAAGGUGUAGCUCAAAUGGUAGGGCAUGUGCUCAGCAUGCACAGGGUCCUGGGUUCAAUCCCCAGUACCUCCA
rnacentral:tRNA from 1 species